AGAAAGCCGGGGUCCUGGAGGGCCGCGCGCACGUGGGUUUGUUGUGGGUCCUCAGGCUUGCGGAGCCCGGAAGAGGCCAGGGCGACCCCUCGGCCGGGACAAAUACACAGCCAUCUCCAGCCAAAACGUGGCCAGCCCUCGCGGCAAAAGCGGCUGAGGCGGCGAUGGACACUGAUUCCCUGCGCCCUAGGCGCGCCGCGGGCCCCGCCUCUCCGCUCCCCUCCUGCGCCCCUCCACAUCACUCCUCCCGGGGGCCCGGGCCGCGCCGCCGCCCGCCGCGCCCCUACUCACUCGCCGCGUUCUCGGCCGCCAAGGCUGCGGCUGCUCCGCCCGCUCCGCGCCCGAGCCGCCCGGCAGCCGGCUCCCUUUGUUAGCGCCGGGCAGUGCCCCCGGCGUCUUCCUCAGCCCGGCCUUGCCCAGAACUCCCCUCCCCCAGGUGCCUCCGGGCUCCGGAGAGCCCAGGAGCUGGGAGCCCCGCGCGGGAGUCCCGGGAGGAGGGGUCUGCUGGGAUGGAGCAGGGCACAGGAGACGAGGGGUGGAGGACACCCGGGAAGGAAGGAAGAAGAGCGCGGCGGCGGGACGGGGGAAGCGAGUCGCCUCCGUUAUGCAAAUAGUCGGGAAGACGGGAUCCUCCCCCAGGAUGUCUCCUGCCGUCCUGCUGGCCUUCCCCAGCCCCUGAGAAGGCAUUAUUGCUCAGUACAAAGAGCUCCAGUUGGAGGGGAUGCCAAACACAGUGAAUUCGAAUCUCUCUGACCAACUAGUUGUGCGCUCUUGUGUUCCUGGGAAAUGGAUGGCAGGUGCAGAGACUGCAAGCACGGAGUGCACAGACCAGCUUGGAAGCUGCCGUCAGUGGAGAUAUAGUAGGAGCUGUGGCAAGGACAGAGAGAAUGAAAAAGGACAUCCAAAUAAUGCUAGCAAAAGCCCUUUGCUUAUUAUAUCGUCUCUCCUGGUCAUAAAAUAGGUGGUGGCCUUAGCCACAUUGUGUGGAUGAGGAAAUUGAAGUCACC
rnacentral:lncRNA from 1 species